UAUCCGUAGGUGAACCUGCGGAAGGAUCAUUCAUAAUAAGUGUUUUAUGGCACUUUUUUAAAUCCAUAUCCACCUUGUGUGCAAUGUCAGGGUUGAUUUUUCUCUCGAGAGGAUCAACCCCAAACAUCAACUAUAUCUCAACUCUUUGUCUGAAAAAUAUUAUAAAUAAAACAAUUCAAAAUACAACUUUCAACAACGGAUCUCUUGGCUCUC
rnacentral:misc_RNA from 1 species